AACGUAGGAGACAAACGUUAUCCGGAGUUACUGGGCGUAAAGGGCGUGUAGGCGGUCUGUUAAGUCUGGCGUGAAAGCUCUCGGCUAAACCGGGAGAGGUCGUUGGAUACUGGCAGACUAGAGGACGGUAGAGGCGUGUGGAAUUCCGGGUGUAGUGGUGAAAUGCGUAGAGAUGUGGAGGAACACCGAUGGCGAAGGCAGCCCCCUGGGCCAGCACUGACGCUCAUGCACAAAAGCGUGGGGAGCAAACAGG
rnacentral:rRNA from 1 species